UAUAAUGUAUGUGUGAAGAAGAAUGUUUUAUAAUUUUUAAAUUGAUAAAAACAUACAAUAUUAUUACUUCUAAAGGGGAGAAAAUAUGGUUGCAGUUACCAAGUUAAUUAAUGUUAUGCUUAUCUUUCUUACCUUGUUUCUUGGUGCAUUGAGUAUUUUCCCGGAGCAUAAUGAAUGCCGAACAAGUUUUGAUUGUCGAAAAUAUUUUUGUCAGUUACCUCUUAGACCAACGUGUAAUUAUGUGGAAAUUUUCCGUCAUUACUAUGAUACCACUUGUGGUUGUGCUUGAGUAAUGUGACCAUAAGUUUUUGGUAUAAAAUUCCACGACCUGUAAUUUUGUUAAUAUGUCUGCUACAAUUAUUUAUUGUAGACAUUAUUGUAAUGAAUUUUGUACUCUAAAUUAAAGGUAUUGAAAUGAAAUAAAGAAGAAAGUAAUACUAUUUAGAUCAUCGUCAA